GAUCCUGGCUCAGGAUGAACGCUGGCGGCGUGCUUAACACAUGCAAGUCGAACGAAGCGCUUAAAUGGAUUUCUUCGGAUUGAAGUUUUUGUGACUGAGUGGCGGACGGGUGAGUAACGCGUGGGUAACCUGCCUCAUACAGGGGGAUAACAGUUAGAAAUGACUGCUAAUACCGCGUAAGCGCACAGUGCUGCAUGGCACAGUGUGAAAAACUCCGGUGGUAUGAGAUGGACCCGCG
rnacentral:rRNA from 1 species